CCCUAGGCUCAGAGGUUAAAGCGUCUGCCUGGAAUGCAGGAGACCCAGGUUUGAUCCCUGGGUCAGGGA
rnacentral:tRNA from 1 species